rnacentral:rRNA from 1 species
CCAAUAGCGUAUAUUAAAGUUGUUGCAGUUAAAAAGCUCGUAGUUGAAUUUCGGGAUUGACACAUCGGUCGUGCCUUAAGGGGUAUGAACUGGUGUAGUCAAUUUCUCACCUUCUGGAGAACCGCGAUGCCCUUAAUUGGGUGUCACGGGGAACCAGGACCUUUACUUUGAAAAAAUUAGAGUGUUUAAAGCAGGCAUUUUGCUUGAAUACAUUAGCAUGGAAUAAUAAAAUAGGACGGCAUGAUUCUAUUUUGUUGGUUUCUAGGAUCACCGUAAUGAUUAAUAGGGAUAGUUGGGGGCAUUAGUAUUCAAUUGUCAGAGGUGAAAUUCUUGGAUUUAUUGUAGACUAACUACUGCGAAAGCAUUUGCCAAGGAUGUUUUCAUUAAUCAAGAACGAAAGUUAGGGGAUCGAAGACGAUCAGAUACCGUCGUAGUCUUAACCAUAAACUAUGCCGACUAGGAAUCAGACGAUGUUAAUUUUUUAAUGACUCGUUUGGCACCUUACG